ensembl:misc_RNA Metazoa_SRP Metazoan signal recognition particle RNA
GCCAGGUGUGGUGGCGCAUGCCUGUAGUCCCAGCUACUUGGGAGGCUGAGGUGGGAGGAUCCCUUGAGCCUGGGAGGUCGAGGCUGCAGUGAGCUGUGAUGGUACCACUGCACUCCAGCCUGGGCAACAGAGCAAGACCCUGUCUCAU